rnacentral:piRNA from 1 species
UAGAAGCUUGCAGACAUCUUGUGGA